rnacentral:lncRNA from 1 species
UUAAACAAUCAAAUUUGGCCUUACUAUUUCAAUGCUAUGAUGAGUACUGGAUUCUCUUUUGCUUACAUGCUUUAGCAAUUGCAAAUGCAUCUGAGAUCGAUCUUGGUUGACUUCUUCAUAGGCAUUUGUGACUAUGUAGUGUGGACAGCUUUUUGGUGUCUAGAUGGCUCUUUUGAGGAUAGGACGAGAUUCACCUAAGGAAGUAAUGCG